AGAGUUUGAUCCUGGCUCAGGAUGAACGCUAGCGACAGGCUUAACACAUGCAAGUCGAGGGGCAGCACAGGUAGCAAUACCGGGUGGCGACCGGCGCACGGGUGAGUAACGCGUAUGCAACUUACCUAUCAGAGGGGGAUAACCCGGCGAAAGUCGGACUAAUACCGCAUGAAGCAGGGGCCCCGCAUGGGGAUAUUUGCUAAAGAUUCAUCGCUGAUAGAUAGGCAUGCGUUCCAUUAGGCAGUUGGCGGGGUAACGGCCCACCAAACCGACGAUGGAUAGGGGUUCUGAGAGGAAGGUCCCCCACAUUGGUACUGAGACACGGACCAAACUCCUACGGGAGGCAGCAGUGAGGAAUAUUGGUCAAUGGCCGAGAGGCUGAACCAGCCAAGUCGCGUGAAGGAUGAAGGAUCUAUGGUUUGUAAACUUCUUUUAUAUGGGAAUAAAGUGAGGAACGUGUUCCUUUUUGUAUGUACCAUAUGAAUAAGCAUCGGCUAACUCCGUGCCAGCAGCCGCGGUAAUACGGAGGAUGCGAGCGUUAUCCGGAUUUAUUGGGUUUAAAGGGUGCGUAGGUGGUUAAUUAAGUCAGCGGUGAAAGUUUGUGGCUCAACCAUAAAAUUGCCGUUGAAACUGGUUGACUUGAGUAUAUUUGAGGUAGGCGGAAUGCGUGGUGUAGCGGUGAAAUGCAUAGAUAUCACGCAGAACUCCGAUUGCGAAGGCAGCUUACUAAACUAUAACUGACACUGAAGCACGAAAGCGUGGGGAUCAAACAGGAUUAGAUACCCUGGUAGUCCACGCAGUAAACGAUGAUUACUAGGAGUUUGCGAUACAAUGUAAGCUCUACAGCGAAAGCGUUAAGUAAUCCACCUGGGGAGUACGCCGGCAACGGUGAAACUCAAAGGAAUUGACGGGGGCCCGCACAAGCGGAGGAACAUGUGGUUUAA
rnacentral:rRNA from 1 species